rnacentral:tRNA from 1 species
UCCAUGAUAGCUCAGUUGGUAAAGAAUCUGCCUGCAAUGCAGGAAACCCAGGUUUGAUUCCUGGGUCAGGAA